rnacentral:Y_RNA from 1 species
GGCUGGCCCCAGUGCAGUGGGGAUUACAACUAACUGAUCAAAACCAGUUACAGAUCUAUUUGUUUCUUCUUCACUCCCACUGCCUCACUUGAUUAGCGUAAA